UGGCUUCAAGUUAGACUGGAAAUAGAAAAUUAUACGGUUCAAAUCCAGUGAGUUCUACGGACAUUUCUCUUUCGUCAUGAAGCUCGAAAAACAGCUCCGUUUAAGAUACCUCAACAUAUUUGGCUUGGUUUUACAAAUAUUUGAAAUCGGAAAUGUGUCAAACCUACUUCUUAAGAUAUUAUAUGCAGCCAAUGGUUAAAACCAUGCAAGAACAGUCUUCAAAAAAUCUCACUCCAAGAGCUGCUGAGAUUCAAAAACCACAGAUCAAGAUCGAUUGCGUGCGCUCAUUAUAUUCCAAUCCAGGCAUGCAUUGAAUCAUGCGUCUUGUAUCAGAGGAUUGAAACCUAGGAUUCGAUCCUUGAUUGAUAAGAAUUAUUAAAAUAAAUCAAGUUAACCUUGAUAAUAACCGAAAAUGAGUGAAGAAUACUUUUGACAGGACACACACUUUUGAUCCGCUUGAAAAAGUUUGUAUUUCUUCUCGCAGGAUUCUGAUAGUUAUUAUGCUCACUUUCUUCCAUUAUUACCGCAGCUGCUACUCCGUGACUGUUCAAUGGCAUUAGUUUGUGGUGUUCAAAACUAUUAAACUGAAGCCUAUGAAGCUUAACAUUCGGACUGGCAGUGCAGUUGGAAUCCCCUAUUAUAUGAAGAAUAGACUCGAAGUAAAAAGGAAUUGAACUUCACCAGUUCUCGGAUAUUAGUGAAUUUAUUAACGAAUGCAACUAUUACAAAAGUAAAAUAAAAAUAUGGAAAUUUAAGUAGAAAUAG